AAGGAGCAUCCAAAAGCAGAGAUGCUACCUGAUACAGUCUUCCUAAAUUAAUUCCUAGUAAUUUCCUGCGUGUAGUUCUGGACUCAGAUCUACAGGUCUCAAAAUUACUGGAUAUAUGA